rnacentral:rRNA from 1 species
GACGAACGCUGGCGGCGUGCUUAACACAUGCAAGUCGAACGGUAAGGCCCUUCGGGGUACACGAGUGGCGAACGGGUGAGUAACACGUGGGUGAUCUGCCCUGCACUUCGGGAUAAGCCUGGGAAACUGGGUCUAAUACCGGAUAGGACUCCUGGCUUCAUGGUUGGGGGUGGAAAGCUUUUGCGGUGUGGGAUGGGCCCGCGGCCUAUCAGCUUGUUGGUGGGGUAAUGGCCUACCAAGGCGACGACGGGUAGCCGGCCUGGGAGGGUGACCGGUCAAACUGGGACUGAGAUACGGCCCAGACUCUUACGGGAGGCAGCAGUGGGGAAUAUUGCACAAUGGGCGCAAGCCUGAUGCAGCGACGCCGCGUGAGGGAUGACGGCCUUCGGGUUGUAAACCUCUUUCAGCUAUGACGAAGCGCAAGUGACGGUAGUAGCAGAAGAAGGACCGGCCAACUACGUGCCAGCCGCCGCGGUAA